GGGCGGGUCCUGCGCGGCAAAGGAUUGCGAACCUGGUCAGGGUCGAGAGACAGCAGCCAUAAGCAGGUUCUUUUGGGUGACGUAGGGUUACCUGGCCGGU
rnacentral:SRP_RNA from 1 species